AUGAACGCUGGCGGCGUGCCUAAUACAUGCAAGUCGCGCGAACAGACGAGGAGCUUGCUCCUCUGACGUUAGCGGCGGACGGGUGAGUAACACGUGGAUAACCUACCUAUAAGACUGGGAUAACUUCGGGAAACCGAAGCUAAUACCGGAUAAUAUAUUGAACCGCAUGGUUCAAUAGUGAAAGACGGUUUUGCUGUCACUUAUAGAUGGAUCCGCGCCACAUUAGCUAGUUGGUAAGGUAACGGCUUACCAAGGCAACGAUGCGUAGCCGACCUGAGAGGGUGAUCGGCCACACUGGAACUGAGACACGGUCCAGACUCCUACGGGAGGCAGCAGUAGGGAAUCUUCCGCAAUGGGCGAAAGCCUGACGGAGCAACGCCGCGUGAGUGAUGAAGGUCUUCGGAUCGUAAAACUCUGUUAUUAGGGAAGAACAAAUGUGUAAGUAACUAUGCACGUCUUGACGGUACCUAAUCAGAAAGCCACGGCUAACUACGUG
rnacentral:rRNA from 1 species